GGGCCAGUAUAUGUGAUAAACAAAAGAAGUUGAGAUGGUUGCAACGAAUGUAUGCAUGAACUAAACGUGCUUAGCUAAUAUGAAUAAUGGGAUGCUGGUUUUAAAAAUAGUAGUUUUCAUUUGCCGAAAUUUGUCCGAGACAUCGUAUUAUUUCACAUUUCAUGUGAAGACAUAUGAGCAUAUCUAUUUGCGGUAAUUUUUUUACUGUUGUAUUUAUUA